AACACGUGACUAACCUACCCCGGUGUGGGGGAUAACGGGUCGAAAGACUCGCUAAUCCCGCAUACGAUUCACUUCGGUGAAGGAAAGCCGUAAGGCGCACUGGGCGGGGGUCGCGUCCCAUUAGAUGGUUGGUGUGGUAAUGGCGCACCAAGUCGAUGAUGGGUCUCUGGUCUGAGAGGACGACCAGACAGAUUGGGACUGAGACACGGCCCAAACUCCUACGGGGGGCAGCAGCAAGGAAUUUUCGGCAAUGGGCGCAAGCCUGACCGAGCAACGCCGCGUGGAGGAUGACGGCUCUUGGGUUGUAAACUCCUUUUGGGGGGGACGAUAAUGACGGUACCCUCCGAAUCAGGCCCGGCUAACUACGUGCCAGCAGCCGCGGUAAUACGUAGGGGCCAAGCGUUGUCCGGAAUUACUGGGCGUAAAGCGUGGGUAGGUGGUCGGUGAUGUGCCGCGUGAAAGCGCCGGAGUAAUGCCGGCGAGGUCGCGGUAGACACACGGACUCGAGGCUCGCAGAGGAACGUGGAAUUCCCGGUGUAGUGGUGAAAUGCGUAGAUAUCGGGAGGAACACCAGUGGCGCAAGCGGCGUUCUGGGCGAGACCUGACACUGAGCCACGACGGCGUGGGGAGCAAACAGGAUUAGAUACCCUGGUAGUCCACGCAGUAAACGAUGCAUACCAGGU
rnacentral:rRNA from 1 species